UUUCUUUUGUUCCAAACAAAUGUUUUAAUAUUGUAAAUUUAAAUAAUUUUUGUGCUAUUUAGCACCACUCAAUUAGCGUCGUCUAUAUUUAGCGCCACUCAAUUAUCGUCAGACCUAUUCUACUGAAACUGCCUGGAAACUUUUGGCCUGAUCAUGCUCUUGUUUGCCAAAGCUAUAUUGUCUCGAUACUGAAUAACAUGUGUAAGAAUAUUAUUUAACAAA
rnacentral:lncRNA from 1 species